GAUGAACGCUAGCUACAGGCUUAACACAUGCAAGUCGAGGGGAAACGACAUCGAAAGCUUGCUUUUGAUGGGCGUCGACCGGCGCACGGGUGAGUAACGCGUAUCCAACCUGCCCAUCACCUGGGAAUAACCUUGCGAAAGUAAGACUAAUACCCAAUGACAUCCCACGAAGACAUCUGAAUGGGAUUAAAGAUUUAUCGGUGAUGGAUGGGGAUGCGUCUGAUUAGCUUGUUGGCGGGGUAACGGCCCACCAAGGCAACGAUCAGUAGGGGUUCUGAGAGGAAGGUCCCCCACAUUGGAACUGAGACACGGUCCAAACUCCUACGGGAGGCAGCAGUGAGGAAUAUUGGUCAAUGGGCGAGAGCCUGAACCAGCCAAGUAGCGUGCAGGAUGACGGCCCUAUGGGUUGUAAACUGCUUUUAUAAGGGAAUAAAGUGGGUCUCGUGAGACUUUUUGCAUGUACCUUAUGAAUAAGGACCGGCUAAUUCCGUG
rnacentral:rRNA from 1 species